AGAGCGAACGCUGGCGGCAGGCCUAACACAUGCAAGUCGAGCGCCCCGCAAGGGGAGCGGCAGACGGGAGAGUAACACGUGGGAACGUACCCUUUGGUUCGGAACAACACAGGGAAACUUGUGCUAAUACCGAAUAAGCCCUUACGGGGAAAGAUUUAUUGCCAAAGGAUCGGCCCGCGUCUGAUUAGCUUGUUGGUGAGGUAACGGCUCACCAAGGCUACGAUCAGUAGCUGGUCUGAGAGGAUGAUCAGCCUCACUGGGACUGAGACACGGCCCAGACUCCUACGGGAGGCAGCAGUGGGGAAUAUUGGACAAUGGGCGCAAGCCUGAUCCAGCCAUGCCGCGUGGAUGAUGAAGGCCCUAGGGUUGUAAAGUCCUUUCGACGGGGAAGAUAAUGACGGUACCCGUAGAAGAAGCCCCGGCUAACUUCGCGCCAGCAGCCGC
rnacentral:rRNA from 1 species